ensembl:snRNA U1 U1 spliceosomal RNA
AUACUUACCUGGCAGGGAGAUACCAUGAUCAAGAAGGUGGUUUCACCUCAGGGUGACGGGCUCGUCCAUUGUCCUUCGCGAUGUGCUGACCCCUGCGAUUCCCAAAUGUGGGAAUCUCGACUGCAUAAUUUCUUGGUAGUGGGGACUGCGUUCGCGCUCUCGCCUG